CCUACGGGGGGCAGCAGUGGGGGAUAUUGGACAAUGGGGGAAACCCUGAUCCAGCGACGCCGCGUGAGUGAAGAAGUAUUUCGGUAUGUAAAGCUCUGUCAGCAGGGAAGAAAGUAAUGACGGUACCUGACCAAGAAGCCGCGGCUAACUACGUGCCAGCAGCGGUGGUAAUACGUAGGGGGCCAGCGUUAUCCGGAAUUACUGGGAGUAAAGUGGGCGUAGGCGGUGAUGCAAGUCUGGAGUGAAAGGCGCGUGCCCAACCCGCGGACUGCUCUGGAAACUGGGUAACUUGAGUGCGGGAGAGGUAAGCGGAAUUCCUGGUGUAGGAGUGAAAUGCGUAGAUAUACGGAGGAACACCAGUGGCGAAGGCGACCAGCUGG
rnacentral:rRNA from 1 species